UCACCGUAUGAGAGAAUCGUACGC
rnacentral:misc_RNA from 1 species